GCGAGGAUAGGUCCCACCUUAAUCAAAUUGCUUAAGCCAUAAUGUCAAUAAUUAGUUUACCCGUUCCUACAUGAUGAUAGGUAAAGCAUACUUCAUCGAUAAAUCUAUAAAUACUAUAUAGCCGAAAGUUUUGACUUUUUAUUGACUUUCUGUUAGUAUGACAUAUAAACUUUUGCAACUCUCAUAGAUAUUUAUGUCCCCAAUAUUUUUUAAUUUUUAAAUUUUUUUUUUUAAAAAACUCAAUUAUAAAACUGAGAUCAAACUAUUCCAUGAUUACAUCCCCAAACCGUAACCCGUAAGUCGUUCUCCCUCUCUGCCUCUCUCUCAAAACCCCAAAACCCUAACCCUUGAGAGCUUUCUCUUUAUGUCAAUGGCAGCCAAAAAAUUAGGGAUUCUUCACUUUAAAAAAAGAGGAUUAUGGAGGCAUAACGUAUUGCUAGAGAAAGAAGGAGGAGUACCAAAUGGAAUCUGGUUGCUAGUAGAAAAAAUAUUGCGCACCUAAAGUGGAAAUUAAAUUAUAUGAUUUAAUGGAAGAUAUGUAUUGUGGGGUACAAAAAUUUGAUAAAGUGGUGUUGCCAUGUGUCAUACCUAGGGCCGAGGAGGGCAUGCCAUUCCAAGGAGAUCGCCCCCUUGGACGAUAAGGCCGCGUCAGUGGCACGUUGCCAGGGGAGGUCCUAUUGUUGAGAAAGAGUUUCGAAAAGGGAGUUAGCCCUAACAUGACUAAAAGGAUGGUGGCUGCCCCCACAUUUAAUGCGUUCUACCAAAUCUCCUGGCUGCAUUUAUGUGGAGAAAAUCUCUAAAUAGUGCUGUUUUGGCUGCCGCAACUCAGAAGGGGUUUGGGAAUGUGUUUGAUGGGACAAGCACUCAAGUGGUGGCCUGGACGAUCAACAAAUGGAGGGCUAAGAUUGCCUGAAAGGAGAUAUAUAUAAUGUGAGAGACCUCCAAGGAGUGAGACAGAAAAAUCAGUAAAGUAACACUGUAGCAAUAAGAACUGAAAUUGUAUUCAAGUUUAAGAGAGAUAUACAUAAGAUGAUAAAUUCAUUGUAUUGGGCUCUUUAGUCCUUAAUCCAUUCAUCUUUUGGGCCCAGGAAUCAAAGCCCGCCCUUA